GUUCCUACGGGGGGCAGCAGUGAGGAAUAUUGGUCAAUGGGCGAGAGCCUGAACCAGCCAAGUCGCGUGAAGGGUGACGGCCCUACGGGUUGUAAACUUCUUUUGUCAGGGAGCAAUUGGGUCCACGCGUGGGCUUAGCGAGAGUACCUGAAGAAAAAGCAUCGGCUAACUCCGUGCCAGCAGCCUCGGUAAUACGGAGGAUGCGAGCGUUAUCCGGAUUUAUUGGGUUUAAAGGGUGCGUAGGCGGAAUAUCAAGUCAGCGGUAAAAAUUCGGGCCUCACCCCAGUCGUGCCGUUGAUACUGAU
rnacentral:rRNA from 1 species